GAUGAACGCUGGCGGCGUGCCUAAUACAUGCAAGUCGAGCGAACGGACGAGAAGCUUGCUUCUCUGAUGUUAGCGGCGGACGGGUGAGUAACACGUGGAUAACCUACCUAUAAGACUGGGAUAACUUCGGGAAACCGGAGCUAAACCGGAAAAAUUUUUGAAACCGCAUGGUCAAAAAGUAAAGGACGUUCUGGCUUUAACUUAUGGAGGUAUCGGCGCUGCAUUAGCUAGUUGGUAAGGUAACGGCUUACCAAGGCAACGAUGCAUAGCCGACCUGAGAGGGUGAUCGGCCACACUGGAACUGAGACACGGUCCAGACUCCUACGGGAGGCAGCAGUAGGGAAUCUUCCGCAAUGGGCGAAAGCCUGACGGAGCAACGCCGCGUGAGUGAUGAAGGUCUUCGGAUCGUAAAACUCUGUUAUUAGGGAAGAACAUAUGUGUAAGUAACUGUGCACAUCUUGACGGUACCUAAUCAGAAAGCCACGGCUAACUACGUG
rnacentral:rRNA from 1 species